UCCGAGUUGUAAUUUGCAGAGGGUGCUCUCUGGCGUUGGCUGUGGUCUAAGUUCCUUGGAACAGGACGUCGCAGAGGGUGAGAAUCCCGUAUGUGGCCGCCAGUCUUCGCCGUGUAAAGCCCCUUCGACGAGUCGAGUUGUUUGGGAAUGCAGCUCUAAAUGGGAGGUAAAUUUCUUCUAAAGCUAAAUAUUGGCCAGAGACCGAUAGCGCACAAGUAGAGUGAUCGAAAGAUGAAAAGCACUUUGGAAAGAGAGUCAAAAAGCACGUGAAAUUGUUGAAAGGGAAGCGCUUGCAGCCAGACUUGCUUGCAGUUGUUCAGCCGGGCUCUUGCCCGGUCUACUCUUCUGCUCGCAGGCCAGCAUCAGUCCGGGCGGUUGGAUAAAGGCCUAUUAAACGUACCUCCCCUCGGGGAGGACUUAUAGGGUAGGCGACAUGCAACCAGCCCGGAUUGAGGUCCGCGCAUCUGCUAGGAUGCUGGCGUAAUGGCUGUAAGCGGCCCGUCUUGAAACACGGACCAAGGAGUCUAACAUCUAUGCGAGUGUUUGGGUGUCAAGCCCGAGCGCGUAAUGAAAGUGAACGGAG
rnacentral:rRNA from 1 species